rnacentral:misc_RNA from 1 species
AAAUGCGGUAGUGUUCAAUAAGAGGAAGUGGCGUCGUCGCUUUGUUACAUCGUUGGUGAGAAGCGAAAUCGAACGGUUUUCGGGGGCUUUCAAUGUAGAACCCCGAUCAUCCUUUUCCCCAUCUGUUUUGUUCUUCUCAGUUAAUAGUGUCCAGUGGAAUUUCUUCUUGUAUAUGAUGCUUUGUUCUGCAUUUACGACUCACAUACAAACGUGGCUACGUGAUUAUGACAGGAUUCAAUCCUUCGCAGUUAUUCUCAUCUAUGUUCAGAUCGGCUGUGCACUGAUUGGAUCUCUUGGGGCAUUAU